rnacentral:rRNA from 1 species
CAGCAGCAGCCGCGGGAAUACGGAGGGGGCUAGCGUUGUUCGGAAUUACUGGGCGUAAAGCGCACGUAGGCGGCUAUGUAAGUUAGAGGUGAAAGCCUGGAGCUCAACUCCAGAAUUGCCUUUAAGCCUGCGUGGCUAGCAGGUGAGAGAGGUGAGUGGAAUUCCGAGUGUAGAGGUGAAAUUCGUAGAUAUUCGGAAGAACACCAGUGGCGAAGGCGGCUCACUGGCUCAUACUGGACGCUGAGGUGCGAAAGCGUGGGGAGCAAACAGGAUUAGAUACCCCGGUAGUCCCUGUCUCUUAUAC